UACGGAGGGGGCUAGCGUUGUUCGGAAUUACUGGGCGUAAAGCGCACGUAGGCGGCUUUGUAAGUUAGAGGUGAAAGCCCGGGGCUCAACUCCGGAAUUGCCUUUAAGACUGCAUCGCUUGAGUUGUGGAGAGGUAAGUGGAAUUCCGAGUGUAGAGGUGAAAUUCGUAGAUAUUCGGAAGAACACCAGUGGCGAAGGCGACUUACUGGACACAUACUGACGCUGAGGUGCGAAAGCGUGGGGAGCAAACAGGG
rnacentral:rRNA from 1 species